rnacentral:rRNA from 1 species
AUACGUAGGGGGCGAGCGUUGUCCGGAAUUACUGGGCGUAAAGGGUGCGUAGGUGGCACUUUAAGUUGGAUGUGAAAUCCCCGUGCUUAACAUGGGAGCUGCAUCCAAUACUGGAGAGCUAGAGUGCAGGAGAGGUAAGCGGAAUUCCUAGUGUAGCUGUGAAAUGCGUAGAUAUUAGGAGGAACACCAGUGGCGAAGGCGGCUUACUGGACUGUAACUGACACUGAGGCACGAAAGCGUGGGGAGCAAACAGGAUUAGAUACCCUGGUAGUCCACGCUGUAAACGAUGAAUACUAGGUGUAGGGGGUAUCAACUCCCUCUGUGCCGCAGCAAACGCAAUAAGUAUUCCGCCUGGGGAGUACGGCCGCAAGGUUGAAACUCAAAUGAAUUGACGGG